UGCAUGAAGACGAUUGAUUGCCCUAUGACGGUUUCACCGUUUCGUGUUUCUUCUCUUUAUUUCCUGUAAAUUCUGCAUUACCCCACUCAUUAGCAUUCAAUCCGUUCUCUUCCCCAUGGUUACUCAGUAGAGCUUUGGGUAUAAAUACCUACUCAUUCAGACAUGAACAUCACAGCUUCGAUGCGAAUCAGAAGAUAACUCUGUUCAAUUUUCGGUUAUUACAAUGGUGAAUUCACAAGUCCUUCUUACCGAUUUGAAAGCAGGCCCGUGUUCCAACGUUGUCGAGGUUUGGUUGCGAUUCGGGGAGGCCAGAAACGUGAGGAAAGGUGGUGAAUUGAUGAGUAUUGACAUACUUUUUGUCGAUGAGAAUUCAACGGUUACGCAAGGAUCUGUUGGUGCGAACCGUCAGCUUAGGUUCAUGGAUGGUUUAUGCGAAGGCUCUCUUUACACGUUAACCGGAUUUGAAGUCACACGCAGCAACACCAAUUUUCGUUUGUCUGAUGCUCCUUUCUCGAUUCGGUUCAAUGAAGGAACCAAACUUGAGAAGAUACCGGCGUCUUUAUUCUCUGAAACAGGCUUUUUCAGGUCUUUCUUCUUAGUGUCUUAAACCAACUGGUAAAGUACUAAUCAGCUGCUACUGUAGGAGCCUGAAAGCUUCAUCUCCUGAGUUUACAAGCAUAUGUGCAAGUUUCUUAGUCAAUGAUAUGUGUUUUUGCGUGUCAAAACCCUUUGUCAAACUCUAAUCACUAUACCACAAAUCUUGCGUGUAGAUGCUAAAAGAUGCCGAACUUAACGAUGUGAUUGCAGAAGACCGUAUCCCUCUAUGCUCUAGCUCUACUUCUAAGUCAUUGUACCUUUCUGAUCAAUCGUCGAGAAGCAGUUGGUAAUAUCAUGGAACCAUCAAUCAACGAUUUUAACCAAAAGCACUCAAGAUAACCGGUUGCUCAAGCAGUCGCUCGCCACUCAACCUUCAAUGCUCUCCGCCUUGGUCGGAAAAUGAGAGAAGAGGCUGUUCAUCAAUCCUCAUUCGAUGAGAUCACCAACAGUUAAUCCAUGAACUAGAGCGUGUCUACUCGGAGUGUCCUAAGCCAAGCUGGCUCCGGCUUCAACAGUUGAUCGGUGAACCCGUAAAUGUUCCAUUUUUGGCCAAUAUAGAUCAAGGUCUGGUUUCAAAACCGGAGAGAGUAAACAGGAAGCUUUCAGCGAUGAAUAAACUGUUGAUGGAGGAGAAUGAUAGACAGCAAAAGCAAGUUUCUCAGCUUGUCUGUGAAAAUGGAUAUAUGAAGCAGCAGCUAACUACUGUUGUGAACGAUGAUGAGAUACAAUAUGAAGAAGAAGACGUGGCCAUCUCCAUGAAGACCAUCUUAAUUGUUCAAAUGUUUUAGUUAUUAUUAUAUUGCUUUUUAUUUAAUGGAGUUAUGUUUCCAUGAUUUGAGGAUGUGUGUUGCAUCCACAGCUUACGUAGUAGUAGUAGUUAGUUUAUUUCUCUAGCUUUGUAUUUAAGCAUGAGUUGGAAGUGAAAUGAGGAUAUGAAAAGAAAAUUGCAGUAAACUUGUGUUUUUGUUCUCUUAAGUCUUUGGGACCUACCAAACGAUGCAAGCUGCGACUCUGUGGUUACAACUCCUCAGCAAUUUUUUUAGAGAUGCUAAUAGUCCUGCUGGGUUGAUCUCGAUUGCGGAGGAGACAUUGUCAGAGUUCUUAUCUGUUGAUUGGGUUCAGAUGCCUGGGAUGAAGCCUGGUCCGGAUUCGGUUGGAAUCUUUGCUAUUUCGCAAAGAUGCAGUGGAGUGGCAGCUCGUGCCUGUGGUAUUGUCAGUUUAGAAUCUGUCAAGGUAAUAAAGGACCACUCUAUUCAAACUUGGCGGUCUAUAAUCUUGAACACUUGGGCUGGAGAGGUGUUACUGUCGUCGUGAAGCCUUCUGUUCCUUUCAAUCCAGAUGUUGUAGAUAGUUGCUUGGGAGACAAGGCGUUGGAGGAGCCUAGGGGAGCGCGUCCUCCUUAUAUUAAGCCACUCCGAGAACGCCGUCCAUGUGUGAAACGCCAGUUGCCUAAACCCAGUCUUCGCAGGACCAUACUCCCUCUCCAGAGUUCCUCUGACCAGUUGCAUCUCACGUUUCCCAACCUCACGUAUCUUGCAUGAAGGAAUCUCAUGACUCAUUUGUUUUCUAGUUUUAUUAAUAAGAGAAGUGGUCUUCCUUGACUAUAUGAACUAAUCAUACGUCACGUUUUCCAUUUCAUGUUUGUUAGGAGUUGAUGCUCCACUUUGUUAACCAAUCCUCAUGUCACGUUUCCCGU